GACAUGGUCGGUAUGACAAACAUAUUAUCGAUAAUGUGAAAUCAAAUAUCCAAAAUAUCCCUAAGUUAAAUUAGUGUGUGUUUGGUAUAAGUAAAGGCUGUAGUGACCCUCGCCUAAUCCAACAGCGAUGUAUACAUGGAAGUAAACCUUACACCUUGAACACGACCAAAACCCUACCUUGGCACUCUCCCUUGGAGGUCUGCCCUGCCACCGACUACCAUCCACCGACCAAAUCCGGCC
rnacentral:lncRNA from 1 species